rnacentral:lncRNA from 1 species
GGAGAGGUGAAAGGAGUGAUGUGUGUGUUGAUUGGUAAGUUUGACAUAAAGCAUGCAAGUGGUGUGUGUGAAAGGGAAUUAAUCCUUACACACCCACCAAUAAUUCCAUCACAUUUCUAAACAAAUAUCUAAUACAUUUAAACAUAUGAAAAACAUAAAACAUAAACUUAAUGAAAUAAAUCAAAACUUUGAAUCAAAACACCAAACUUUUUGUUCUUGGCAAAAAUGUCAAGAACAAUGAAGAACAUUCAUGAAAA